GACAGAGGUCCCAAGCGUUAGGCGGAAUCACUGGGCUUAAAGCGUGUGUAGGCGGAUCCGUAAGUACCUUGUGAAAUCCCACGGCUCAACCGUGGAACUGCUGGGUAUACUGCGGGUCUUGAGCCACCUAGGGGCGAGCGGAACAAGUGGUGGAGCGGUGAAAUGCGUAGAUAUCACUUGGAACGCCAAUGGUGAAAACAGCUCGCUGGGGGUGUGCUGACGCUGAGGCACGAAAGCCAGGGGAGCAAACGGG
rnacentral:rRNA from 1 species